CGAAGAGCCUGCAAAAUUACUCAC
rnacentral:siRNA from 1 species